rnacentral:rRNA from 1 species
CAAUAGCGUAUAUUAAAGUUGUUGCAGUUAAAAAGCUCGUAGUCGGAUUUUGGCAUCACGCCGAACUGUCUGCCGAUUGGUAAGUACGGUUUGGCGGGUGCUUCUUUCUUGAAGCUCGUUCCCUUCUUAACUGAAGGGUUCGUUGGUUCAGGUUCUUUUACUUUGAGAAAAUUAGAGUGUUCAAAGCAGGCAUAUGCUCUGAAUAGGUUAGCAUGGAAUAAUAGAAUAGGACUUUGGUUCUAUUUUGUUGGUUUCUAGGACCGAAGUAAUGAUUAAUAGGGACAGUUGGGGGCAUUCAUAUUCCAUUGUCAGAGGUGAAAUUCUUGGAUUAACGGAAGAUGAACUUCUGCGAAAGCAUCUGCCAAGGAUGUUUUCAUUG